rnacentral:rRNA from 1 species
GAUGAACGCUGGCGGCGUGCCUAAUACAUGCAAGUCGAGCGAACAGACGAGGAGCUUGCUCCUCUGACGUUAGCGGCGGACGGGUGAGUAACACGUGGAUAACCUACCUAUAAGACUGGGAUAACUUCGGGAAACCGUAGCUAAUACCGGAUAAUAUAUUGAACCGCAUGGUUCAAUAGUGAAAGACGGUUUUGCUGUCACUUAUAGAUGGAUCCGCGCCGCAUUAGCUAGUUGGUAAGGUAACGGCUUACCAAGGCAACGAUGCGUAGCCGACCUGAGAGGGUGAUCGGCCACACUGGAACUGAGACACGGUCCAGACUCCUACGGGAGGCAGCAGUAGGGAAUCUUCCGAAAUGGGCGAAAGCCUGACGGAGCAACGCCGCGUGAGUGAUGAAGGUCUUCGGAUCGUAAAACUCUGUUAUUAGGGAAGAACAAAUGUGUAAGUAACUAUGCACGUCUUGACGGUACCUAAUCAGAAAGCCACGGCUAACUACGUG